rnacentral:misc_RNA from 1 species
CCAAUAGCGUAUAUUAAAGUUGUUGCAGUUAAAAAGCUCGUAGUUGAAUUUCGGGAUCAAUUUGUCGGUCGUGCCUCGGUACGUACUGGCAUUAUUGGUUUCUCCCUUCUGACGAACCACGAUGUCAUUAAUUUGGUGUCGCGGGAAAUCAGGACUGUUACUUUGAAAAAAUUAGAGGGUUUAAAGCAAGCUCACGCUUGAAUACAUUAGCAUGGAAUAAUGAAAUAGGACGUUUGAUUCUAUUUUGUUGGUUUUUAGGAUCGACGUAAUGAUUAAUAGGGAUAGUUGGGGGCAUUAGUAUUCAAUUGUCAGAGGUUAAAUUCUUGGAUUUAUUGAAGACUAACUACUGCGAAAGCAUUUGCCAAGGAUGUUUUCAUUAAUCAAGAACGAAAGUUAGGGGAUCGAAGACGAUCAGAUACCGUCGUAGUCUUAACCAUAAACUAUGCCGACUAGGGAUCGGAUGAUGUUAAUUUUUUAAUGACUCAUUCGGCGCCUUACG